CGUCCUCUGCUGUGCCCGACCGCUUGCGCUAACAUUCGCCUUGUCCCUUAAACACGACCUGGGAGACUGCCUCAGCCGACCGUGUGCAAGUCCGCCGCGCAGCGGAAAGCCUGACGUCCGCUUCGGUACCUCCACCUGAUCCUCGGGAUCAAGGUCGUUUCGCAAGCAUCGACAUGGCGGAGGAUGC
rnacentral:other from 1 species